rnacentral:lncRNA from 1 species
GACAGCGUGCUGCCACGCACCAGCCCUGCCAGCCAUGGCAUUCGCCGCGCGGAGGAGCAUCGCCACCCGACUUUUCACCAUCUCACGUGAUGCCUCCAUCCUCGACCUCAAGGCACAUCUCUACCUCACCCAGGAAGUGGACGAAAUCCCACCGCCCUAGUGCCGUAGCGGCCACUGCAACUCUGUGGCUUUGCCAAGAACAAGGAGGAGCAGUGGCAGGCAAUGUCCUUCCUUUUAUUUGGCCGGGGGCUUCGAAAUUAUCUGGAUCCGCUACUGUCACGGACCCGCGUUUCGCCAUGGGCAGAAUUCGGUGUUGCCUAAUCGCCGGUAAGCUCUCUGUGCAUCUACGUAUCUAGUUUAGGGGUGCAUGUGCGCGCGUCGGCAAUGGCGCCGCCACUGGAGCACUUGCGUGGUCGUUGACCACGUCGAGGGGAAGAAGACGUUGUGUUGGCCGUUGAUUUGAUAGUUAGCGUCCGAGAUCAGAUGGGUGCACACCGAAUCAAGCAAUUGGGUUUGGGCCACCCGAUGGUUGAAGUGCGGCUCAUAUCCGAUCAGAUAAUAUCCCUUUGUUUCAUUAAAUCACAAGCAUUAGAUGAAGAUCUUGUGGCCAUUGAUGCCUACCGGUUUGGGCUAUAAUCCGAGUCGUAUGCUGUGGAUCAUGUGGAUCUGGGUCUGGCGCGGUUGUAGAUGAUCCGAGCCGUCGAUUAGAUCUCGGGCGUGUGUGGGUCGAGCAGCAGGUGAGGAGUAGGGGGGUGAAUCAGCGCCGUCGGAUCGCGGGUGUACGACUGUGAUUAGAUCUUGCCGUACCCUUUGGCCUGUUGUAUCGGCACCCUUGGAUCUUGAUCGGGCGGUGAAGAGAGAUUACCGCUUCAAUGGAUCUCGAUCCGUCUAUUUGUGAUUGGGCGAUCGAAACUCAAACGUACCCCUUCGACCAGACUUCUUUCAUAAAAGCCCUUGCGCUUUAUUAUAAUCAACCCGCCAUCCUCUCCUUCGCUGAAGGUAUAACAAAUAGGUCCACAAAUUAUAAAAUGAACCCCGAGGACUUAAGAAAUUAUUCCCACAGUACAAAGGGUAAUCAAAAUGAGUAAAUUAAUAUGGAAAAUGAGUUUUAGGUAUAAAAUUAAUCCUAGAAACUUAGAAAAUUUAUAUUUUGUUCAUUUUAACUCUGAUUUAACCCAUUCCAGUUGCGUUAGCUUCAUAAAAAAUAUUUUCUACGCAGUAGCAACAUCAUGUAUACCAUAUUCCAUACCUUUAUAAUUAGAUAAGUGUUUAAUCUAUAUUCAGUAGAUUAACUCCACUAAUCUAGGUUAAUCUCUCUAUAAUUAUAUCCUGAUUAAAAUGAAAUCCCUAAUCAAGUUAUAAUCUAGAUUAAAGUUGAAUUAGUUAUUUAGAUUAUAUUUCUCCUAUACUGCAUAUUAAUCAAUUUAUAAUAUAAUAGAACUUCGGAAAAUCAUAUCUUUCUAACCGUAACUCCGAUUUUAGUGGUUCUCGAACCUAGGAUCUAGUUACGAUAUGUAGAAUAUUAUUAUACAGUUUGUUCUUACAUUUGAUGUGAUGUUAAUUUUGCCUAUACCAUGUCUGUUUGUAUUGCUAUGAUUAGCAGCGAGGUUACGAGUCAUCUGAAGAUCAUCUUGGUGCCUCGAAUCUUGGGUCUCACGCAAGUUGUGCCCUUGAUCACUUUUUUUUACCCAAUAAUAUUCUUGUUAAUCACUGUGACGUGCUCAGGUUAAUCAGAUGGGACCUAAUAGGUUUCUCUAGAGUUGUUUAUCUCACACCUUGUUUACCACUAAACUUUUGGGUAGUUUUGCUAUUGCUCUACCUGGUUUUGGGAUUAAUAUUACAUUACGAUCUUGUUCCAAUUAUACUAUUGUUUUAAUUAUUGUUCAUGAAAAGAUCAUUGUGUUAAUUGGAACAUGGAGCUUAACUUGAGAAAUACGUGCUACCACAAGGGUGGAAUGGGACGCUCUUGGCUGACUAAUUAGAAAAGCUAGUGGAGGACUACCUUACCCUAAAGGGGUAAGGGCAGUAGGGGAGUUGCGUAUAGGGAGGUUCUCGAUUCGAUCAUGCUGCGAUGGCUUUUCGGACGAGCUAUUCCUAUAUUGCCCUUCCUAGAAACUAUGACGGGUUUUCUGAAGCUAGUGGAACUUUGUAAAGGCCUCGUAGUGGAUCCCUAGCCAUUCACCUCAGAAGUGUCUAAGGGUCUAGCUAAUCCUGGCUAGAUGGGAUACACGACUUGUGGGUAAAGGGCGUAACCUCUGCAGAGUGUACAACCGGUAUAUCAGUCGUGCUCGCGGUCAUGAGCAGCUCAGGACUUUCGCGUGAUUAAUUUAUGGAACUAAACUUAAUAUGUCAUAUGCAUUGCAUCGCAGGUGUUGUUAUUAUCAAUUGUGAUCUCUUUUUUAAUUGAGUUGGUAUCUACUUAUACUUAGUAACUGCUAAUAAAAUCUUGACCAACUUUAAAAGCAAUGCUCAGCUUUAACCAUCUCCUUUGGUAAGCCUUACACUUCACAUGAACUCCCGCCUUUGGUGAGUUCAUGCACAUUAUUCCCCACAACUUGUUGAGGGAUGAAAGUAUGUGAGCUCACCUUGUUGUACUCACAUCCCCCCAGGUCAAGGACAGGUACCAUUGGAUAAGGAGUAUGAAGGAUACUGUGAUGAGUUCGUGAGUGGUCUAGGCCGUCGUCUCCCAAUCAACUUUGGUUGCUGGAUCGUUGUCUUCAUAUGAUGUAAUUAUUUAACUAUUUUGUACAGAACUCCAUUAUAUAUUAAAGUUGUGGCAUUCGUUUC